rnacentral:lncRNA from 1 species
ACAUCAGGAAUGCCUCUCUCCUUGUAACAACUUCUCCUUUGAACCACAUCAUUUGUUUUCCUCUCUUCGUGGGAAUUCCCAGUCUUUGGGCCUGAAUCCCUCUUUAUCUCGCAGGCAGUCAGGAUGCACAUGCAGAUCAGGAACACAUUCUUCACGGUCUAGGGCUGGAAGAAUGCAGGCAUCCCACCUCAGGUGUGGAAUGUGCAACUUCUGCAGAGGAGUUUAGAAAUAGGAAAAACGAGGGCUAUGAGGAAUCUCUGUUGGUGCAAGAGAAAAUUAAAAGAAAACACAACAAAUACCACACGGUUUAUUUAUUCAAUCUAUUCAGUGAUAGAAAGAAAACUCCCCCUGCCCCCAAACUUGGCCAUCGGGAAAGAUGCAGAACACAUCAGGAAUAGUGAUUGUCUUUUAGAGGAUGGAAUGAGAUGACCUCAGGACCACCCACCCUUGUAUUCUCAGAGCAGACGGAGAAAGCAGAUUUUCGAACAGUAACUUGCUGUCUGAUAUUCCUGGCAGAAAUACAAAAACAUACUUCCAUCUUAAAUUUAUGGCACCAUAACGUAUUCCCUCUAAGCUUUCCAGAUCGUUCCCAUUGCCAAAUGUGACCAAAGCAUAAUCACAGCGACUAAACAAAUUAAAUGUUCGGUUAAAGACAAGCCUGAAAAAAAACGAGUAAGGGAAAGUAAAGCCCCCAGAUUGGUAAUAAAUUAAUGCCAUGUCAGUCUUUUUAGUCAGUGAGCUCAGGGCCAGGACUUUCCAGUGCUGCUAUGGUGCCAUGUGAUCAACGUGGGGAGGGUUCCUCUCCUGCGGGUCUGCGGGGUGGGUUGCACUGCGAAGACUAGGGCUCCUCAAGUUCGGCUUUGUUUAAUAUCUGCAGAAACAAUGGCCAUCUUUUAAAAAGUAAUUUUAGAUUCUUCUCACAUCUUGCUUUAAGGUACAUCUUAUUUUUUUGUGACAACAAUAUAAGUAACAAAUAUCUUUUGUAACUUUAGGAUAAAUACAAUUGCAAUAUUUACUGAAUGAAAUCAAAGAUUACGCAUUUUUCGGUGUGUACUAAAUUUCAAAAUUUAAUUGUGUUAAAUAACAUGACAGUUUCUUUUUUGGGGUGGAGGAGCGGAUUAAGCUAACAAAGAUCAAAAAGCAGCAAUUCCAGAAAAGAAUUUAAGCCUCUUUUUUACAUACGUUCAAAAUUUGGAGCUGGGCCGGACCUCAGAAUUUAUAUAUUUCAAUUCUUUUGUUGUAGAAAUCAAGUUGUAGAAAUCAAGACCCUGAGAUAUGAAAUGACUUGCUUAAGUUAAUCAGUCUAGUUUGUUAGCUGAGUCUAAAACUCAGAAACUGGGCUCUUAGAUUUAGCAAUACUUUCUUAUAUAUUAUUUCUGCCUCUUUCUUAUAAUGAAGUAUGAUAAGACUUUAAAACACAAAUGAAAGAGUGCAAGGUAAAUUUUUACCCUUUAGAAAUUUAAAAAGUAAAGGAACAAAACCACAAUAUCAUUUAAAAAUAGAUAUCUAUGUGUCAUAAUAUUAUUUUAGCUUUUAAGAUCAAAAUUUAUUUAGGAGAGAACUCUAUCUAAACGUGCGUCUUGAAUAUAAAAAUAUUGGUCAACAAAUGUCAAGUGCUUGUAUUGUGUAGCUAUCAUUCACUUUAAUAAGAAUGGCUCUGCCUUAUUCGUCAAUUUUUUCUCUUUUUUAUAUUAGAAAUAUAAAAAGAAGCAAGUUAUAGGUCAUUUAAAAAAGACUUGAAAUGCUGUUAGUGUAUUACAAUUGAUUGUCCAACUCUAUAAUUGGUAUUAAAUUGUAGAUUUAAUUAGUUGUCCAAUUCUACAAGUACAUAGGUGUUUUUCCUAGAACUAAAUAUCGUCACUUUAUUAAAUACCUCAAAAAUCAUACUGGGUAUCUGGCAUAUAUGUUAGUAAUCUUAAUGCAUUAGUCUCGGACAAAAUACUAAGCUUAUUCACCCAUGAGAGAGAGAUAGUAAUACUUUCCAUAAACAUCCAUUCAAGGAAAAAUGAAACCACAAAUAGGAACUUAUUGUCAAUUGUAAAGCUAGACAAAUAUGAAAAAGUAUAUAUUUUAUUCCUUAGAUACAAAUACUAGGAACCAAAAUAAAAUGCUGAGUUUUCCUUGUUUUGUUUCAAAAGGCAAAUAAUUAGCAGGAAAUUAGUAUAGCAAAGAAAUAUUCUAAGAAGGUUAACAUACAAGUGUCUCUGGCCUUUCUGAUUGCCUGGGAUCUUGAAAAUAUGAGAAAAAUAUGUUUGGCCAAUGGGUUAUUCUUAUUGUAUGUCCAUGGAAGUUUUCCAUACAUUUGUCAAAGUUUUAAAAAUAAUAAGACUUAAAAUACUUAUUCUGAAUAGACAAAUUUUCACUACAAAUUAUGUUAUAAUUGAAAUAAUAAUUAAUUGUGUUAUAGAAAUUCAUAUCAAGUUAUAAUAAUUUCAGCCUAUCUUUUGUAACUGCAUGUUUCUCCUAUUGCUUUAAAGCUAAUUUAGGCCACAUUAUAUACAAAAUUAAAUCUUACUUUUAUAGCUACACCCUUGGGGUUCAAUGAAAAGGCUUUAUGAGAUAGAAAUUAAAAGUACUGGUUGAAAAUACUAUUACAUUAUACCAGCUAUUAUUAAGGCAAUUUACAAAGUUACUGCUAAAACUAUGCACAUUUUUCAUUGUUAGCCCUCAUAUAUUCAGUAAGCCCAUGGGACUGUUUGGUAUAUAAUUUGGCAAAUAAAAUCAAUUGAAAAGUAAAUAGCAAAUCAAUGGCAUUUAUCACAAAAAGAAAAUUACACCAUAUAACAGCAACAUUUAUUUAACCCAAUACUGUUAUGAAUUAACACGUUUACACUAAGUGAUUCCAGGAAAACAUUUGGUGCUGCAUUCCUCAGUUAUGAAUGAAUAUGGUUUCAUCCUGGCAAUUUUCUCUUUGAAAAUGAGAAAAAUGAUGAAAUUUAUGACAGUAUGCUUUCAAUGAAAUAUCUCUGAUUUUUAAGACUCUCAUAGCUUCUCUAUAACAAUAUGCUGAGAUGUGUACAUCUAUUUCUGUUGUAUGAAAGACUGAUGGACCUCAAAUUUAAAAUAUAUUUCAUAACUUAUAGAGAAUUACUAAAUAUAAAAGUAAGUUUAAGAUAGAUAGUAGACAAACGUAAAUUAUUUCUUCCAAAGACUUGAAAAAAUUAAUAAUAUUUAAAUCACUAUAUAUGCAAGCAUAUGCAAAGGUAUGAUUUUUAUCAUCUUUAACCUUGUAUGUUAAAGUGGUUCACAGUUAUUCCAUAUGACUAUAUAACUCCUUAUGAAAAAAUAUUAAAAACAAAAGAAACUUUGAGAUAUUCCUGAACUUAUUUUUUAUGUACAUCAUGAAAUUUUUGGUGGAACACAGUGCUGUGGUAUAAUGAAAAAGCUUCUCUAUUAAGAGAAUAUUUGCUUCCUGCACAAACACAAAAUGGUGAUUAAUGCUUCCUGUUGAGGGAAAAACAGCUUAAUGUGCUACUUGAUAACAACUGAUAUAUAACACUUCCCUUAAUGUUUAAUUUUUGCAGUAAUAAAAGGUAUUUCCACAUGCCAGUAUACAUUUUUUAUUUCUUCCUCUAUUCACUAUGGCUGAUACUUUCGAAUAGGUUGUGGUAACUACAAUGCAGAUUAAAGUAAUGUUGUCUUCAUACUGUGUCAACCAUUGGGGUCAGGAAGAAGCAGGUGAUAAUUUUAGGAUCUGAAAGAAGUGAUUAGAAAGAGUAGAGUGCAAACAAUGGACCUUUUUCUAAGUCAGGAGAAUCCAACCUUUUUUUUGUAAGAACUAGAUACUUGUCAGGUCAUAGCAGGGGUAACAAAUCCAGAUAUGUACAUGCACCUGUCACUGUGUGAAUUGUGCCAGUAUGGGACCCCAGGGAAUGGUGGGCUUGGGAUGAACUAACCAGCAAGGGCAUGUCUGCUUAGAUGCAAGCAAAUCGAGAAAUUUAAAAGCCACUAUGAGGCCAAAGCAAAGCCUUCUGAAGGCUGAAUUUACCCAAUAGGGUUACCACUUAGCAAUUUCUGAAAAUUUAGCAUUACUCUCUGUAUGUGUGUGUAUGUGUUUUCAGUUUCUAGCCAUUAAGUCCCUAAACAGAUGGAAAGUGGGAAGGCGUACUGCAGCUGGUUGAAACCUUUCCACAUGGGCAAUUCUACUAGAUUUCAGAGAGACUGAUAUGUUACAAAUAGUGUAGAAAUCUACCAUAUAUAACUUGUGGAUACUUGAGCAGAUAUUGGUUGACUGAUCGGUAACUCCUGGUGAGGGCAAAAUAAAGCAGAUGAAUGAUACAUGUUAAAUUAGUAAAUAAUUUAAAAUGUCUGCCUACUUAUUAGGACAAUUCCCAUUUUGUCCAAAACAUGAGGAAAAUGGAUUUGCAAUUGUUUACUUGGAAAAGCUGAAAACUGUUUCUUAACUGAAUUUACAUAUUUAUAACUCCAGCAAAUAAUUAAUGCAACUAAUUUGAUUGCAUGAAAAGUAAUUCAAUUUUAUGAUGGCUACAACAAUUAAAUUUAUCAAGGCCCAUAAAUUAUGAAAAUAGAAAAAAAGCAUGAUAAUAUGUGAAAUUUCAACUACUGAAAAUGUUUCUAUAAAAGAGGAUUUAUUUUUUAAUACAUCCACUCAGAUUAUUUUAUAAUUUUAUAAUAACACUAUUAUUUUUAGUUUAAGAAUUGAAAUUUGGAUUUAACCUUUGGACAGUUCUAUAUAAAGUUGAUAAUAUGUAUUAUUUAUUUAAAAUAUUCUGGCUGUUUCUAUUUAUGGACAUUCAUAUGAGGCCAUUAAUCCAGAGAUUUGUUUGCUCUCAGUAAGUAAGACUGAAGGUUAAAGCUCUAUAUUUAUGGUAAAAAAGGAAGAUAGCCAUAGAAUUAACAUCUAAUUCCCUGAACAAUUACUGUAUCCCUAAACAAUUAGUUCACGUGCUUUUCUGGUGUCUCUAAAUGAAUGAUUUUAAAUAUGACUAAUAAGUAAAUGGGGGGGGAGACUACAUUACUUAGGAAUUUUAUUAGGCUGUCAAUUUAAAUACUCAUUCCUCAGGCAAAGUGCAACUUCACAUUUAAAUAAAUGUAUAUUAAACACUUUAAAUUGAUAGCACCAACUCUUCCCUGGGGUAUGAAUCAUUUAGACUUUUCUAGUACACUGUUGUAAAGCACAACAUUACAUUAGAUUACAUUACAUUAAUCUAGUAUAUUAAUAUCUUUGAUUAUAAAUUCACCAUCGAGAGGUAAAAAUCCAUCUGAUGUGUUUAAUAAAGAGUUCAAACUUCUUUAUGCCAAGUGGCAAAAUUAUUUUUUUCUGUUACAUUCAGAAAAACAAUCAGUUUCAAUAUCAACUGUAUCAAUUAUUUUAAAGCCAAUUAUUAAAAAAACCUCCAAAUUUGCUUUAUUAAAUGCUCUUUAAUUUGUAGAUCAUUAGCCAAUUAAGUUUGAUUAUUUAUUCACAUAAGAAUUCACAAUCGAAAUGCAUGUGAUUUUGUUCCCUAUCCUAAAUAUCAUUAGGAUAUAAACUAUUUCAUCUUUUAACCAUGGCAGAUCAUUUUUGGACACGUCAGAAACUCAAAUUAUGAGAGAAAGUUGAAAUUCGAUAUUCAGUCUGACAUACUAUUCUUUUCUCUUGAAAGCCAAGAUUUAAAAAUUUCAAAUUAAACUGAUUUUUAGUUUCAAAGCUUGUCUAACACUAACAUGUUUUAAAUUGAUAGGAAUCGUACAGCAUUAAACCAUCCCUGGUGUGCAGGAAUACAUUUAAAAAAUUAACAGUGAGGAGUUCCCAUCAUGGCUCAGAGGAAACAUAUCUGACUAGUAUCCAAGAGGAUGCAGGUUCAAUCCCUGGCCUCACUCAGUGGGUUAAGGAUCCCAUGUUGCUGUGAGCUCUGAUGUAGGUCACAGUUGGCAUCUGGUGUUGUUGUGAAUGUGGCAUAGAUCAGCAGCUACAGCUCUGACUUGAUACCUAGCCUGGGAAACUCCAUAUGCUG